rnacentral:tRNA from 1 species
GCCUGGGUAGCUCAGUUGGUUGAGCGCUUGACUUUGGCUCAGGUCAUGAUCUCACAGUUCGUGGGUUCGAGCCCCAUGUCAGGCU